rnacentral:rRNA from 1 species
AGAGGUCCCGCCUGCCCUGUGACUGUAAGUUUAACGGCCGCGGUAUUUUGACCGUGCAAAGGUAGCGCAAUCACUUGUCUUUUAAAUGGAGACCUGUAUGAAUGGCAUAACGAGGGCUUAACUGUCUCCUCUUUCGAGUCAAUGAAAUUAAUCUCCCCGUGCAGAAGCGGGGAUAGUCCCACAAGACGAGAAGACCCUAUGAAGCUUUAGACAAAAAGUAGACCACGCCGAACAAUCUAAAACCAAAAGAUAAGAGCCUAACGACCCCCUACCCGACUGUCUUCGGUUGGGGCGACCACGGGGUAAAAUAAACCCCCCGCGUAGAACGGGACUAUUCUGUCCUAGGGCUGAGAACCCCCGCUCCAAGCAACAGAACCUUUCUGACUAACCAGAUCCGGCUUAGCCGAUCUACGGACCGAGUUACUCUAGGGAUAACAGCGCAAUCCCCUUCUAGAGUCCCUAUCGACAAGGGGGUUUACGACCUCGAUGUUGGAUCAGGACAUCCUAAUGGUGCAGCCGCUAUUAAGGG